AGGUCCCCCCUUAUUAGUAUUUAGGGCCCCCACCCGCCGCUGAGGGGUGGGGGCCAGGGGGGACUACACUAGGUCCCCUCCCUUAUUCCAAUUUAGGGCCCCCACCCGCCGCUUAGGGGUGGGGGCCAGGGGGGAGGACAUU